CUCUUCCUGACUGAGGCCUCAGCUCCACUUCCACAAAUUCCUAUGCCAUAACAAUUUACUCCUGUAAUUACCCCAGCCUCUCAUCUAACCUUUUUUUUUGUGCUAAGCAGAACCAAAGGGAAAUGGUGGCAUUACAGACAGCUCUUAGGCAAAGCAGGCAGGAGCCUAAAGCAGCAGGCUCCUGGGCAGAGUGGAACCGCUCCAGCCCCCACCCGCUCUGCCUCUGCUACAGCCUGGGGCAGUGAUGCUGCAGCUGCUCCCCAUGUGCAGUCAGGGGUUCAGGUCCAUGAAGCAGCAGAACCUUAACCUGUUGGUGAAAGGUGAUAGAGAGGCACCCACCCAGGAACAGAACCCUCUUUCAUUGUUCCUUCCUUUCUCCUAGAUGUUGUUCUAUCUCUGUGAUGGCAGCAGCUACAGCUCCAUCCUCUACACCUUCACCCUAAGUGCAAGAAAUGUUCUGACUAGGGAUGCUCUUACCUUGCAGGAAAGCCUGCCUGUGAUUUCUGUGGCUGUUACUAUGUGCAAGCUUUUUAUUUUGAAUGAAUAGUAAACAUAUGAAUUCAUUUUGUUAUCUCAUUCUUGAAUAUCUUAUUUAUAAUAUCCUGUGCACUUCAUCACAGAAAGCCCUGGAUGUUAAGAAUCAGGCUGACUCUCUACAGAGGUAUAAGGCUACUGUAGAAAUUUAACUGUCCAUGUUAUCUGCAAGGACUCAGAAACCUGGAGACACCACAGUAAAUAAUACAGCUUAGCCACAGAAAGUAAAAGACAACAACAGACAACAACACUGAACUUCCAGUGCAUCUCUUUAUUUUUUUCCUGUCUCUAUUUUGUACAAGCAAAUCACAAGCAGUCUAAAAAACCAUUAUAUGAAUUGAGGACCAAAAAGGACAGCUGAUCACAGGUGGCCCUUGCACCAACCAACGGCCUCAGCAGUACCGUGCUGGAUAACAUACCUUCAUUAUCAUAAGGAUGUCACCUGCACCUUUGGGCAAAAUGGGCUAUUUAAAGAGUAAAGAACAAUCACUCCAUGAUUAUAAAAGUGACUUGGUAUUAGUCAGGAAAUUGCAGUUCCAUUUUAAAUUCAGUAACCUCCAUGCUCUGAUCUGAGAUGCUCAAAAUGUCACCUUAUGCUUCAUGCAUAUUCCAACCCCUUUAACUUGAAGGACCAGAUCCUCAGCUGCUACAAGCUUCUCCUGUGCACAGCCGUGCGGGGCAGAGCUCACACUACCCAUGGGAAGCAGCAUUCCUCCCAAGCCGCCUCCGGCAGCCAGCUGGCAGCUCCCCCUGGCACUGCUCCAUCAGCGCCACCAUUCCCGCACUGAACGCAAGCUGGGGCACGGGACAGGCCUCCCGAGUUGAACCGGAGUGAUCUUGUCUGGCAAGUGGCUCGCAGGGAAGCAGAGCUGGGGACUACUCUGACUUGUUCUGCCUGGGUCUAGUCGGGCCUUCAGUAAUCUUCAGAUGCCAGGCAGGAGGAUGCUGAAUGCCCCCCAUGACUCCCCUUUCUCACAUUUUGCGUGAGUGCUGUUCUGACUUACCUUUGUGGCAAUGAAGCGUGAACUACAAGGGCUGGAUUCUCCAAAGCCUUGUAUUUUGCAUAGGUAUGUAUGUCAGAGAAACACGAGUGAUGAGAAGAUAUAAAAGCUACCCAAUCAAUGAGGAAGCCUUUUAUAUCACAGUGCAGAGAUGCAAAUGAUCUGCAAGGCAGCCAGGAAUCAGGCUUCAAUAUAAUAAUAUAGAUAUGAAGAAUAUAAAAUUAGAUACACAGAGCAAAAACUUUUGGCAGAGGCCCUGCAAUGAUUAGCUUCUCUCUUCCCAAUUUCUGCGUGUGUGUUUUUUGCUUUCCAGGAAUGGACUACAUAAGGCAGAGGAAUAACACGACACAGAACUGAUGAGGAUUUCUGUUGAACAACUGUUUUUUGUCAGACCCCAUUUUAUUAGAAUCACGUUGUUUAAAUGCCAUACUGAAAAAAUAAAUUGACACUGGUUAUUCGACUUCAUUACAUCCAGUGCUGACUUUAUGUAUCAGAAAAAUAGGCACCUGAACUUACACCACGAUUCUGUCUCCUAUGCACACACAUGUAGAAUCACAGAAGGGCCUGGGCUGGAACUUUAAAGAUCACCUAAUUCCUCUACCCUACCAUAAGAAGAGACAUCUUUCCACUUGACAAGAUUUUUCAAAAAAAACUUGGCUUUGAAUGGAUGUGGCAUCCACACUGUCUCUGGACAACCCAUUUCUGUGCCUCACCAUCCCCAUCAUAAAAAUUUCUUUCAUUUGUCCAAUCUAAAUCUACCCUCUUUUAGUUUAAAACCAUGAAACGUAUUCCUCUUACACAUGGAAUUAUCUGGCUUUAAACCUUAUGCAUCUAAAUCUAGCCUCUCUUGGCACUUUAUGCUCUGUAUGCACAUUUUUUUACAAUGAAUAAAAGUAUAAUUGCAUAAUAAGUAAAAUAAUAUUGACAUUAUGCGUUUCCACAUUUUCUGAAGGUUCUAAAAUCUUUCUGAAAUCAAAGUGCAUACAAGAGGCAAACCAUCCAAGCAGAACACAGCUUACCAGCAAACUGUGCUAGCAGAGCAGAGCACAUGAGGUGCCUGUGACGGUGGGACUUUUUGCUGCUUUGAGGACACAGGACAUCAGUGCUUCACAGCCAGGCAGGUAGACUCUUCAGCAGAGAAACUCUGCCUUCUAACUAGGCAACCAGCCAGCUCCCAGCUCCCAGUGCACAUGUGGGUGCUGGUCAGUCAGCUAGAGAGAUAAGGAGGCACUGGAGCUCAAUGCCCAGGGAUACAUCCUAAUAAAUACUGCCCAGCCAGCUUGGGCCAUGCCAGACAGCAUUUGCUGAGGUAUGGCAAGCCUGUACACAGUCAGCAGCUAGGAAAAGUGGAGCAAGGACUUGGUGGGAAGAAGUUCAGUGGGAAAGCACAGCAUGCCUGGCAUCAGUAGCUUGGAGGAGGUCAUGCUCACUCCCUUGUUUCAGUGGGCUCGCUGUAGACCACUCUUCCUACCACAGAAAACAGUGGCAUGCCCCAGAGGAUGCCCCUCCAUAGCAUUUUGCUGAGUCAAUGCUGAUAAAACAGGGCAAUGCACAACUCACUAACUGAAAAGUGCAGGAAGAGUUAAGGCAGGCAGAGUUUGAUUCGCUGCUUUGAAAUCUCUCCAAGAGAUCACCAAUAAACAAAACAUUCUUCUUCCUUUAAAAAUAACAUUUUAUGGAUUCUAUACUGAUGAAUAAAGGGUCAGGCUAAAGCAGGUUCUGCAUUUGUGUCCAAAUAUUUUUUUUAGCAGAAGUUCUUACUUCUGGCUUAAGAUUUUUUGCAAUAUAAGCUACAGGUUUGACUUACUACUACAAAAAUUCGGGAGGAGAAAAGAAAGGGAUUGUUUUGAAUUUUUGCAAGAAGAAAAUAAGUAGGUAUUCCAUUCUGGAGGGAGUGCCUUGAGGUUUGCUGAUUUUUUUUUCUUCCUCUUCUUUUUUUUCUUUUUUCCCUUUCUUCCACCAGAAGCUGAUUAGCUGAUUUUGCCACUUAUCUCCAUGGUGCUGUCUCCAGCAGCAGUCUCCCUAUGGAAUGUAUUUUCAAAAAGUAAUGAGAAGCCAAAUUUCAAACUGAAGCCUGCAGUGGCUAAUUAGGUGUUUUAUAUAUGGACUCAGCUGCUAUCCCAGUUUGAAAACUGAAAUAAUGUUUAGCACAUCUCUUGGCAUUCUUACUUGUUUCUCCUCAGGCUGGCUUUAGUUGGCCUGUUUUCUACAGUGGUCUCCCACUUAAGUCAGAUGAUCCCAUGUUUAGUAAAGAGCAUUAAGUGAGGUCAGAGUACCCACUGAGCAACAGGGGAAGCUGUGCUGCUCAGCACAGAUCACUCCCUUCACCCUCCCGUGCACCAGGCUCUCUUGCUGCUCUCAGCUUUGCCACCCUCACUGAGGGCUCCUUUCGCAUUGUGCACACACCUAACACACAUCAUGGACUCACUGACAGCACCCUGUACCCAAAAGCUCAGAGGACCUGUGACCAUCCUGAUGGCACACAGAUCAGCUUAACCCAGCCAGUGCUAGCACGGAAGCUUUCCUGGUGUGAACCUUUCCCAAUUGUCUUGCACUUCAUUCUCCUUUCACCCAUCACCGCUCCCCAAUUCCCAGGGUGUUAAUUUACCUGGAGGGCAGAGUGCACCAAGAUCAAACUGCAGAGAGCCCAGCUGCUGUGUGCUCCAUUAAAAGACAAGUGAUGCAAAACGUGGCUGACAUGCUGGGCUUUUUAAUGAAGGCCACACAAAAUUUCAAUAUAUGCCUCAGGAUGAAUCAGGGAAUUAAGCAAAACAUAGGCUUGCUGUAUUAAAAUGACUAAAGCUUCCUAAUGAUUUAUGUAUUAGUCUUGCAAUACAUCAUCACCAUUGCUUAGUCAAGACUAUAAAAGUCUAUUAUUAAACACUCAUGAAGCUUUCACAGUCUUAAAUUUUCUUUCUUCAGGGAAUGCAGCACAAGAUUUUUCAAGUUUUGAUAGAUUUUGCAGCUUAUUUUGAAGCAGCUAGAGAGAUAUAUUGGAAAAUAAACAUGUCUUUACUGUUAUCAUAAACAGUUUUUUUCUUUUCUUUUAUGAAAAAGCUUGAGUCCUAAAUGUUUAUUAGAUUAAAGCAGGCUGCCUGGCAAUACUACAUAUAUUUAUCCUGUGAACACAUUUUCUGAGUCUCAUUAAUUGUGAUUUUUCUCUCAAUAAAAAUGAACCAACCAAAUAAACAAACAAAAGAAACACAAACACACAAAAAAACCCCAAAAACAUCAAAAAACCCAAAACCACCAAACAGAAAUACAGACAAGGAGAAAAGACCAAGCUGGAGAAACAAGAAUAAAUAUAUCACAAAUGACAACCAGUAUUUUACAAAUUGAAAGAAAGAAGCAUAUACAUUAGUAAAACAAAUCUCAAAUCUAAGGUAUUAACUUAUCUACUUUUGAGAUGUUGCUGCAGUUAUGUUUUAUACAGCAGCUAUCCUAUAGGUUAUUGCACAGUCACUCAUCUCAUGUAUGACUGGGCAUUUUGUGUGCUCCUGAGCAAUUCCUCAUGUACCUCUUCGUGUACAUUUCUUCAAUAUAUGUGAUGUAUAACCUUAAAAAAUCAAUUGUGACAGUAUACAUGUAACAGUUAAGGUGGCUGAAGCAUAAACCUUGAGUGAAGAAGGAAUGAAGUGUUAGGGACUCCUGAAGAGCUCUCAUGACCCUGUGAUGAACUUGUUUGAAAGGAAGGCUACCAGAACAAUACAUGAAAUUAGUGGUUCUACACGAGGUAAAAAGGAAAUCCUUCAUGUCCUAAUUUGUGGCAUGGGGGUUACUUAAGCAGUCAUAGGCCAGUGGCAGAGCAAUCCAUCUUGCCUUUCAUUCCUCUUCCUGCAGCGAGUUCUUCAGUUCAACAUGUUGUUCACACACAGCUCCGGACAAAUCCAGGCUUUGUCUGGCAUCUUUCAAGUGUAGAAAAAUAACAUUUUUCUUCCUAAAAUUAGAAUAUAAGGGUAAAAGCCCAGAGCUGGGAAAUGCUCUCUCUCUAAUUGGUAAAAUGUUGGUAAUGGUCUCACUAACUGAUAUCUCAGCAGAUCAGUGACUCCUGCCUUGUGCUUAACCCUCAGUGCAGUAGAAGCCACAAGCUGGAAGCUGGGUGGUGUUUUGGUUUUUGUUUCUUCUUUAAAGCCAUGCUUCCCAGCUUCCAACACUUCACUGUAUAAAUACAUAGCAUUCAGUGACUAAUAGCCUUUAGGAAAAGCAGAGGGAACAAAAAUUAACUUACUGUCUCUUGAGGACUACAUUUAGUAAAGAAACAUAGAAUGUCUUUACUUUAAAAUCAUUUAUGAAAAGCAAAAUAAGCCAGGGCUUGUCAUCCAGGGUGUUACUGUCAUCCAGAUGGAAUCAGAGCAUCAUUUUUCAUUUGGCUGAUCCCUAUUCCUAAUGGCAGGAGGUGAGAUGCCGAGAGCUAUUCUGAUCUACUGAGAUUGGCUGUGUGCAGCUCAGUUGCUGUGUGCUCAGCAUAGCUCUCAAAUGCAUAUAACAUGAGCUCAAAGGCUGGUCUUCUCAAAGUCUCACCAGAAUUAGUACUUUUAAAGAAGUCAAAUUUUUCUGUUUGUGUACAGUUAGUGUUAAUUUCAAAUGUUUUGGAAUAUUUUAAAUAUCAAUGUCAAAUUCAAGUUAUAAUUACUGUACCUCCAUUCUUCCAGGAAAUAUAUGUCAUUAUUUAGAAUGAUAGAAAUUGUCAGUUUUCUACAGUCAGGGCAUUUGAUGCAGUGUAAAGUACAUGCUAACAGUUGAAGUGGUAUUUGACCAUAAUAGUAUCCCUUCAUUCAAUUAAAAAUCUCCAUUAAACAAAUGAAUGAGUAAAUACAUAAAAGGAAGCAAGGGUUUGCAUUGCAUUACCCAAGAAAAAGAUCACGGCUUCAAGACCUACAUUCUGUGUCUUCAUGACCCUUUUUGGGGGAUGUAGAAACAACAAGGACACGUAUCUUUUCAUAUUAUCUCUUGGGUAAUCUGGAUCUCAGGUUACUGAAGAUUGUCACACAUCUUGGAAGAUCAUCUGUAGGAUUAUAAAUGGGGGGAGGUACUCUCAACCCACUUGUGGAGAGCUUCCUAUCUACCACUCCUGCAAUAGAGCUUUUAAGUUGAAGGAAGUAAUGGGGGAGUUUUAUGGUUUCUUUGCUUCCACCAGAAUGCACAUAAGACCACAAAAUCCCCAGCAAUAACUUGAAUAAUCCAAGAUAUUCUUAAGAAGCAUCUUGAAACUGGCGUAGACUUUUGCAGAUUAGCUGCAAGUUCUGAGCUUUUCAUUCUGGGACUCAAAAGGGCCUGUAAGGUCUGAAUAAGCAUAAUGAGGUGCUGCCAUUUCAGAUCCAGCACUGUGCACCUACUGUGGUUGGCAGAUUUACAGUAGGCUAUGUUGGUGUAUGUGCAAAGAUAAUUUAAUGUUUAAUUGUAGUGGGCUCAACCCACUGCACACCCUUGGAUUUAAGGAGGAGCUGAAUGUGUUCUGCGAGAGCAAAUAUUAACCACAUUGAAGGACUGGUCUGUCUUACCAGAGGAAAUGUGCCAGCAAAAUCAUUUUUCCUUUGAGAUAUCUAUAACUACUGUGCAGAAAAUCCUAUGCCAUCCAUCUUUGUUUACAGAAAUAACAAAAAAUUAGCAAGUCUGGCACAACAUACUUUUGAAAAUCAGUUUCUGCUUGUUGUAACAAUUUAACAACUUCUGCUUUUUAGAAGAUGUAAUGAGAAUAUGAACAUCUCGGUUUCAAUGUGAGUGAUAAAAGUGACUAACUCCCAGUAUAUGAGUUAAGACAAGAAACAAACUCAUAAAAAAGACAGCUAUUUCUUAAAAGCCAUCACAAGAAGCCUUCUCCUCAGAUGGAAGAUCUUCCUAGGUUCAAGAAGAAAUAGAGCUGAAUGCCAGCAGGUACCAGAGGAAUUAAAAUGUGGAAGUAUUCUGCAUCCACGAAAUGACUCACAGUCCAGACACAGCAUAAAAGACUUUUGUUCUUCUGAGACUGUACAUCAACAGCAUCACUCAUCCACUGUCAGAAAUCAGGUGCGAUUUCAAUAAGAUUUAAAUAUGAAAGGGGCCUGUGAAGAGGGAGGUUCUUAUCUGAGAACACAAAAAUGCCAACUUGAGCAAAACACAAAAACCAAUAAGAAAGGACUAAGAUACAAGCAGUCCACAGCCAGCAUUGCAAAAUGGUUAUUUCUUAGCGCCGUAAAGGACAGUGUCAGCAACCACUCUCUGUACCAUUUGGCCUUAGAGCUGAGUUUUGGGGUUUGCUUUAUAAAUUUCCCAACACCGUGUGACCCUGGAAUACUGUAAACAGAGAUAUGUAAUAGAAAACCAAGCAUUUCAUAAGAAGGGGCAUGGCAUGGCCUGGGACCAGAAUGCUUAAGACCUCUUACACUUGCAGACAUGCCAGAACCUAGUGAAAUCUGGCAGGUUUAGCUUUCCAGGAAAUGACGAGAAGUUUCAUGUCCUGAAAAACCAGCACAGUCACAGAGCUGCCCUGCCCCAGCCCGCACUGAAAAAAGAAAUUGCUGGUUUGAAAGAUUGAUUGAUUGAUUGAUUUUUUUGUGGCAAUUCAGGCACUGAACAUGCCCACUACUCCUUUAACAUCACUGUUAAAAGCUCUUGAGCUUCCCCUAAAGCUAUUGUGAGCCACAGUGCUCCUCAGUUUCUGUCCCUCUUGAGAAGCUGAGAUUUUGCUGUUUACAGCCCCUCUCCACUUCUCAUGGCGAGAAAGGCUGGGCUACCACAGCACCCAACACGUAAUGAGAAAAGAAGAAAUGGAGCAACAAAGCUACAACUGUAUCAGACAUUCUGGCAGUAUUAAAAUUCCUGGGGGAUGAAAUAUUUUAUGUUUACAGAGAUUCAUUUUACUUAGAAAGCACAGUUUUCACAACACAUUUUUAUCAAGAGCUUGAUUUAAUCAAAAGACCAAUUUUUCUUCACAGGUGUGGGUUUCAACUGCUUGGUCUGCUUUUGAACAGAUAAAGUUCUCCUUCUCUAAACAAAGAGGUUUAGGAUGAGGACUGGGGAAAAGGUUAAGAGUUAACAAAUCACAGAGGCAGAAAUCUGCCUUCAGCUCCUUGCACAAUACCUCAUAAUCCUUAAUGCUUGUGGCAAGACAUGGAAUGUAUGGCUAUGAAGAACCAGGAGCAAAACAGGGCUGAACCUGGAGGGGGUUUCUGGAAGGACUGUGAGUCCAUUUGUGAAAAGUGUUUUCAAGAGGUGGGAGCUGGGCGAUCCCAACAACAUUUCCUCCAUCAAAGCUCUGAGCAGUGGAGACAAGACCAGGCUAAGCAGCAGACCUGCUCUCCCAGACAGCUUUCUCCUGAGUCCUGGCUGGAGUUGAAAGCUCUGUAUGGAAAACGCCAAUAGGGAUUCACCUGUGGCUUUAUGCUGUUUAAUGGAGCAACUGGAGAAGCAGUGGGAUGGGAAGAAACUCAAGAAGACCACAAAGAAAACAAAAACUGUGGGUGGAACACAGCAUACCUGCAAAUGGAGAACUUAAGACUGAACAUGAGUGAUGCUGACUGGUGGCACAGUGAAAGAAACACAACACAAAUUACAUGAUGAGGCUCCACAAAAGCUUUGAUUAGCAUCUCCCUUACUGCUGAAACUGUAUAAUCACAUCUGUAACAGUGGCUGGGACUGAGAACUGCCAUGAAGGUUAUGGACAGAUGCAAAUGAGAACAAGCACAGCUGUGACUUUUUCUUGUUUUCUGGGAAGAAGGAAAGGAUGGGAAUGGCUUGGGGAUGGAACAAACCCCACGCUCCCAGAAUAAGUCUCAGCCUGCUACAGUGCAGGUUCCAGCACAGACAGAGCUCAGCAUGAGCUGUUGGAGGGCACAUGGAAACAUUGCUGCAUCUCUGAGCACCAGGCCUAGUACAAGGAAAUUAUUUGCAUAUCUCUGAGGCCAUCCUGCCCUCCAAAGCUCUGACACUUGGAAAAGGUGAAAGGAAGCAAUUUGCCAGAGUUCUGUUUGCAGCAACACCGGUAAAAUACAAGCCCAAGAAAGGCAGCCAAUAUAAAAGAGCCCCGGCACAGCAAGGCUGAUCUGCAUGCCAAAUGCUGUUUCUGCAUCUGCUGGGAUUGCUGCAGGACUCGAUACAGGACCUCUCCAUGCACAGACACACUUCUGUUGGUUGAGUCAGAUGGAGGGAUGGAGAAAUUUGUCCUGUGUAUGAGACGGAAGUGUAUUAGACAGCUGCUACAGCCGUUCAGCUUUGCAUCAUGAACAGCAGGCAAACCCAGGGAGGCUGCCAUCGCUCACGUUAGCCCCCAGGAUGUCUGUGCCACUGCAACUUCACCCUCGACCUCCGGAGAGGCACAGGAUUUCAAGAACACAUAGAACCUUUGCCCUCCACCCCAAUUAGUCUCCACCAUCUGUGCUGUACAUCCUGGAAGCAAAAAAACUAGAUCUGAGCUCGGGUCAGGAGACAAAAAAAAUUUCAUUUACACAAUGUACAGCUGUAAAGAUACACGCUCCCCAGUAUUCUUUUGCUCAUUCUUCAAGAGCAUCCCCUGAGUAGAAAUUCUGGUCAAGUCCUUGAGCAGGCACAAUCACCUCUGCCUGCAUCUGAUGCUAUUACAAUUCCCUUUCUGACUUCAAGAGCUGCUCAAAUAAUGUUAAGCCAAAACACCUUUCAAAGACUUUUUCUGUUUUUUUUAAAGGCCCCCAUCUUUCAGGUAGUUCAUAUCAAGGCUGUCAAAAAAAUCUUGCCCUGUAGUCUGAGGGCAGUUUCUCUCAUGUGGGGAAAAGCCAUCUUUAAUUUAAUAAAAGUGAGCAUACAAAGGAAUACCCAACAGGCAACUGAACCAGUCUCCUUCCUUAACAAAAGGGAAAACCUUGUAAGUGUAGCAGCAAGCUCUCUUUCUUAAAUUAUUAACUACCUAACAUUCAGUAGAUACUAAAAGUGGCAUGCUAUUGAUUUUCUCUUGUCCAGAAACAUUAUCAGCUUUACUUAAGGGUCCCAAAUGUUAACUCAAAAAUAAAAGCUGGUUCUAGUUUUAAUUCUUUGAAUUAAUCCAAUACUACUGGAAACAUUUAAAAAUGCGUUAUCUUUUCAUUGUGAACGAAGAAUGACUGUGCUUUUUCUUCCAAUAUGGAAUCCAAACAACUCAGUAUCUUUCUGGUUUUAAUUAUCAGUAGUCUGCCUUAUAACUUUUUCAGAGUGUAUGUGAAAUUUGAAGUGGCAGCACACAAACCAUUAAUGCCAAGCACCUGAUAUAACUGUAUAUGUUCUGAUAUAACUGUAUAUGUUUUUCCCCUUGAUUUAGCUGGAUUGUCUCCAGAAGAUUCAGUUUUAAAAUACCACUGAUAGCAUCAUGACAUAAGAAAAUUAAUUAAUAAGUAAACUGAACACAAGCUUCUAUUUUGUAAUUGAUUAGCUGUUGCUGAAAUAGUCUGGCAAAAGACUGAUAGUAUGGGAAUAAAAAACUGACUAAACAAAACAUGAAUGUGUGAUUUUGCAGAGGUAAUAAUAAAUUACAAUAAGGAAAAUAUUUUUCUGCAAAACUAUGCUGAACAACUGUUCUUAUAGAUAUAGCAAUGCAUUCCAGUGUGCUGCAGUUCUGUAUUUAUUGUAAUAUGUUUGAAUUAUAAACAAUUUUACUUAGCUUUAAUGAAUAACAAAAAAUAUAUUCUUUUUAAAUUCUGUGACUAGGCAAUCAAUUAUCGUGUUUCUCACUCAAAGAAUGAAUACACUUCAAGAGAGCUGUCUUUGUAAGCAGGAAUUUAUGAUGAUUUUCUAUAAAAGUUUGUAAUGAAACUCUUGGUUUCUGAUCCAUCUUAUGUAAUUUAAGGAACAAAAUGGAUCUGACACUGCAUGCAGCAUAACAAAAAUUUUUUAUGAUAGUUAUAAAUAUUAUAGGCCAGACGAACCCCAUUUUUAUUGAAUUAUACAGGAGAAUUUGCACUAUGCCUGCUUGUGCUGCAGAUGAUGACAAAUAUUGCUCUAACUCCCAUACCUCCCACUGCCAAGACGUCCUCCAUCUCCAUUAUAAAAUGUGUUUUAAGAGCUGUAAAAAUACAAGUAUUUCACUCAUCUGGAUUUAUUUACAGUGAGCUGCUUGGAGGUUUUUAAAGUCAGUUCUCUCAAACUCACUACAAAAGAAAAAUUCAAAAUCUCUUUUUCACAUACAGAACAAAAUGUCUGCCUUCCCAGCUAGGCUCACAGAAGAGGGUUUGGAGGCAGAUCCCCCUCACACAAGUUUUUUUAUCUCCAGACAGCCUAAGGCUGGGCAGAUAAAGCAGUAGGUCAGCCACAAACACACAUAACACCUUCACAGCAGGAGGGGAACCUUUAUAAUCACAUUCACCCAAUUCUUGCUAUUUACAAGGAAGAGAUACAUACUGUACCAAAAAUGUUCCCAGGGGGAAAAAUUAGGAGACAGUUACUUCCAGUAAAAGCACAAAGCCCUUCCUCCAUACAGGCUUUGCACUGUUUUAGCUGUUGCUUUUAGCAGCAUUUCCAAUCCCACCAGUGCAGCCACUUCACAGAACACCAAAACUGCUCUGUUCUGCACACCCAUGCAACAAAACACCUCUGGGUGUAUCCACGUGUAAAACAGCAUGGCCCACUUCUCCCCUGAACAGGAGAACCAUAGAGCAGCAUGCCCUGGCUAGGCUGUCUGUACCAGAUUGCUUGUUCCACCUUGUUCCAUUGGGCUGUGCAAUCCCAGAGCAUGCCUGCCCUGUGAGUCUCUCCUGGCUAGUGAACAACGAGAACAUGCAAUGCCUUACUGUAAGAAUUGCCCCCAGAAAUGUAAGAAUUGCCCCCAGAAGUGCUUACUGGAGGCACAGCUGUGCCCACAUGACUGCUUCUUACAGAUACUGCUUCUUCCUGCCUCGUCUGGGCUGAAGAGCAGUAAAUUUACAGCACUGCUCUAAAAGCUGUGACACAGCUGCUUACUAAGCCACAUCCCAGCUCAGAGUCCAGCGCUACAGGUAGGCCACAUGCCUCUUGGUAUCCCAGGAAUAUGUUCUGAGUCUCAACAGGACCACACACAGAAGCCAGAUUAACAGUGCAUGAGAACUGAAAAGAUAAAAAUCCUAACAGUUUAGAAGAAAAACACAAAAACAUGGAUGACACUUGGUGCAGCUUUCAAAUGUUAUUAUCUUAUUCCGUCUCCCCAGAGGGAGCUUAGACUCUUGCAUUUCCUAAUGUCUUUUGGAGUUUUUAUAAGUGUGUAUACAAUUUUCCAAAGCCAAAUGGGAGGAAAAUGAAGCAAAGCAAGAACUUUUACCCCAGGGCAUAACAAUGACACCUGGAUGACACCUGGAUACCACACCAAUGCAUUUGGCCACUGGGGAGAUGCAAAGUCACUGGUAUCAGUGCUGGAACAAUGCCCUGUUCAUGGACCUUUCCUGGAAGGUACCUGCCACUGUGAAAACAGGUUUGAUAAAGGAAAGGGACCAAGCCCGGGGUUGUGGAGAAGAACCAUCUCCAGAGGAUUAGGUCUCUCCUGCUUCAUCCCAGGACAACUUCUCCACAGGAGUUUGCCUGAGCCUCUGCUCCAGCACUGAACAAGCCCAUGAGCUCUCACCUCCAGCUCCCUACUCCUCAGAUGCUCUGCACCACCCAUUGCCUUUUUUGAUUACCUCUCCUGACAGCUUCCCCAGUUCCCUGUGCCAGGCAAAAUGCAUGGCCAUGAUGAACCAAUGACAGUGUUCUGCUUCCCAGCCUCCCCUCCUCCCUUACCACCACAAUCCAGUGAUCCCAUGCUGAUCUUAUCAAGGAACUGCAUGUGCUCAGGAAGGAGGGGAGAGGCUCAGCUCCAGAAAUGCAUAUCAACUCCACCUACCUCUCUGCUUCCCUGCAAAUGGUAAGUUCCUUCUCCCUAUUCUCUUACCCAGCCACUGUAGCUCCUUUGUCUCUCAGUCCCACAUUACUCUGCACCCUGCAAGCAUCUACCUGUCACACACCUGGCUCACCCUACCCUUGCUGCUGAGGCUUGUUUCCUCCUGGAGCCAUGAUCGGUGCCUUUGAGGCUCCUCCCAGCUUUUCCACCCCUGCUUCAGUAUCAACCAGAUGUGACUAAGUUACAAGUGUCCACCCCAUCUAAGUGGGUGAUCAAGCAGGAGAGAGGUUCCAACUCCUCCACCAGGAGCGGUAAUUCUCAUCUCUGUUAAACACCAGUAAACUUGCAAGUAAGAGAUCAGUCACGAAUGGCUUUGUAGAGAAAAAAUUCAAUCACUUAGUACCCAAUACAGACUCCAGUCCUCAAGGUUAAGGACUCAAUCCUUGUGAAUUAUAUGGUGUCUAAGCAUUUCCAACCUCUGACUGAGACAUCUCCUACAGUUCAGACAUGCCUAAUGAUUCUCUUCAUCCUCACUACCCACCCAAGCUCUUCCUCAAUACUUGCUCUCUUACUAAUUUUCUGAUAUUUAACAAGAAUAUAUGCUAUGUUCUUAGUUCAAUUCUCUAUAAAAGACUUUUAAUCAGAAAAUUCAAAUGUUUUGCAAUCAAGGUUUCUGUCAUCCUGAUGGUUCCCAGCUAAGUGACCUGUUCCUCCCACCCAUCAACUCUUCACAGUCUAUUUUUCAUGGGACAGAAACUUGUCACAGGGAUCAUGGAAGACUGAGGCCACCAGUCUGGACAGUGAAGAGACUGGAGGAGCCUGAAAUGAGACCCAGUGCCCAUCUCCACCAAGCUCAGAGACAGCCAGGAAGAGUAGAUGGGAUGCUGGUGCCCAGUCUCAGUGCUGGUGCACUUGCCUGCACGCAGCACCUCCCACCACAGCUCAGGGUUGUGAUUUGGGCAGAAAGACCUGCUCAGGCUCAACCUGGGACAUGCUUGGUAUAGGCAAAAUACUCAGAGAGGAACACAUGAAAGGUGGCUCACAAAGUGCAGUGCAGGCUUCUGCCUUGACCCAUCAGGGGAAUAUUCCAUAUGUAGCAAAAGAUGCAGCCACUACUGACACAAAGGCAAGAUCUUGUCUGCAUUCAAUUCCACACUGUGAUAACACCACAGCCUUUAUGAAAAGCCUUGCCAUCAUUUCUGACAUUAAAAAAAAACUCCUAAAUAAAAACUAAAAAACUAAGAUGUUUGCCUUAUCAUUCCUGGAAAUAG